GUGGCAGGAACACUGGAGGUAGAUAUUUUUUUUAUUUUUGAAUUUUGGGACUGUUGACCUUGCUGUGAGAAAAGAGACAACGACUGAGCAAGCACUACCACCAGCACUGUUACUGGGAAUUAGAAGACCUGAGUUUCUGUCCAGACCCUCAGUGGAAACUGAGGACACUCCAUCCAAAGUGAAUUAUGGUACUUGCCAUUUUCCAAAAUGCCUUUUUCUUUACCAUCUCUGCACUUUUGUUCAUACUCUCUUUCUAGUUUGGAAAUGCUCCUCUCUGGCUUUUCAUCUGUCAAAACUGCCAUUUUCUCAGUAUCCAACUCUUAUGGUCUCUUUUCCAUGAGUCUCCUAACUAGCCAGAAUAGAACUUUUAAGUUUUAUGACAUUUUGUUAUGUAUCCUCUAUCUGUAUACAGAAUCCUGUAAAAUAGUUACUUGCCUGCAUUUUCUGUCUUUGCAGAUAGCAGACUCCUUGAAAGCAGAGUCCUUGUUUAGUGCAUCUUUCCCACAUACUCCACAACAUACCAUGAAACAUUUAUUAGGAAGGAGGAGUUUAGAGAGCAGGCUAUCAGAAUAACCACUCAGUGUUUUCUUAAUUGCUAUGUGAUAACUAAAAUUACUCUUAAUGAGAAGAAAAGUCGCUAGAUAUGGGUCAUAUUUCUUUAUGUUUUAAUGUUUUUUGAUUCUAAAUUUUGAUCCAGGGAGCCCUCAGACAUAAGGAGAAAUCAAUAUAUUGAAUGGGGUGUUACAUGCAGAAGGACCAAGACCUUAUUUUCUCCUACUUGAGAUGAAAUCUUGUUAAGGUGAAAGGACAGCUUUUUAAAAGGAGACGGUCAUAAGACAAUUUGAGGAAGGCAUUGGAAGAGGAAGAGGGGCAAUUAUAUCUCCUUUGUUUUAUUGUUGGUAUAUAAACUUAAAAUCUCACUUCUUUUUAUGCCACUUGUGGAGCCACUUCCUCUCCCCACCAAAAAAUGCCCAGCACCCUGAAUCCAAUCAGAUUACUUUCCCAAAGUAUGAGGCUUAGUUUCUGUUUGCUGCUUCACUGAGACAGUUCCCACAAGUUGAGAGUGUUAAUCAGGCUUUUGUGUGUUCUUUUUUGGAUUGUUGUUGUUUGUUUUCAUUUAUCAUUUGUCUUUGCCUAAGCCAGGCUCAUCAAGAAUUAACAGCCAUCAGGCUACUGAUGUACUGACAGCAGACCCACUUAGAGUCCUGUGUUUGUAAUUCCAUGCAUUUGUUAUCUUACCUGUUUUGUCCCUGCCCCUUCUAGUCCUGUGCCUCCUGAUUGCUGAGUGUUCACCUGGACCUUCUGACUACCUUCCCUGUGCUAUUCCAUCAGCCUACAGACCUGGUACCUGGAUUUUUGCCCGAGAUGAUUCCUGCCACCUUACUACUGAAGAAGACACCCAUUCCAGUGGACCACUGUGACCCAGGAGGCAUUCAGCCAUCAUGAUGUGGCCUUUACCUCCACUCCUGUCCUGUUCUACCCAGAUUCAGCACAGCCCUUUAUAGUGAAGUCAGAGUCCUCAAGCCAAAUAGCUAAAGCUGUUUUAUCACAACAAAGGCCUAGUUUGUUCCAUGAGUGUGCAUUUCAUUUCUUCAGUUAAAGCCUUCAGAGACACAUAAUAAAUUUGGACCAGGGGAUUUUUUAGUUAUUAAUGCUCUCUGAAGAAAGGGAACAUCUUUUUGAGAGCAGCAUUGGACCAUACCCCACAAUCUCAAAUGAUUGAAGUUCAUGAACAUCUAGGAUCCCAUGAAGGUCACUGGACCCUGUUUUUUCUACUUCAAAUCCUGUAGUAGCCUACUGAAUGAGAAAACAUAUUCUGACCCAUUGGGAUCAAAUCAAAGGCACAGUGAACUCCUCAUAGCAUCUUCUUUGGAAUUACUCAGGAACCAGAACUUUUUACACAAAUGUAAGAAAUUCUACCAAGGAGUCCCCUUACCUAAGCAUCUCACAAGGCUGCAUCAGAUUCCAGAAAAGGCUUCUCUUGAUACAUCAAGGUAGAACCUCUAUGCAUUUUGUGACCGACUUAUUCUUAGAUCAUUGGUUUUCCAAAGGCUUUGUGGCCUUGAAGCCCUUUGAGUGAAAACUGCAGAAGCCCAGAGUAAAAGUGAAGCUGCUCUGGAUGAAGCAGUGAAGCAAGAGUAGGGGCCUGAAGCCUGCUACAACUAUCUUCCUUUGCCACCGUGGUGACACCUAAGGGGACUUCCUUACAACACCUUGAACUUUCCAGAACACAGUUUGAAAACCACUGCCCCAGACAGCAAUAUGUUUGACCUGAAUGGCAUUCCAGUCUUUUCUGUACCUCCACUCAGCACAGUUCAUGUUCAGUUGAUGCUGAACAUUCUUAGAAAUACUGUGUGUGAACUUAGAAAAGUGCAAGAAGACAGGCAUGUCUUUGACCCCAGGAAUGAUCAUGGGCUGAAAGUGGUGUCAAGUGAACCUAGAUUAACAGCCCUCCACUCCAGAUGGAUAUCCAGUGAUUCCUAGAAUGGGAUAUAGCCAGAGAACAAUUCUAUGCACCCUACACUGACAGACUCCCUUAAGCAACUUCUUUCACAAACACCAGAUGCUGUACUGGUACUUGAAGUACAUGACUUUGAAGUCUUGACCAUGGAUACCUGAAUUGCCAGCAAGCGGGUUUUGAAGCUGGUGCCUCAUUGAGGGCAUAUUAGAGCAACUUGUACAUUUGACCUCUUGUUAUCAACCAUGGUACUCUACUUCGUGUACAAGAGAUAACUAUGAAAGCCGAAUUCAAAUACUGGCAACAUUUCCUAAAGGGGCUCAAUAUCUAUCAUCUUCUUUUCCAAACUACACAUCACUGUAUGACUCAACCAGUAGCAGUUAUAUUGCCCCUUGGUUUUUAUUCAGUUUAACUACUGUUUCCAAGAUAAAUGAGCUAAUAACCUUAAAAAAAAAAAAAAAAAGCAAUUAUUUUUUCUUCAUCACUGGCAUAUCUGCCUAUUCUCCAGAAUUAUUAUGACUACUCAGCUCACUUUUAACAGUUGAUCUUCAAGAGACAAUCUUUGAACACCCCUCCUCAUGUGAUUUAAAAUGAAACCAUUUGGAAAAGUUUCUUCUAGCCAAUAAUAGAUUUUUUUUUAAUUGCUCUGCCUUGUGCCGAGAGAUGUUAUUUUAAGAUGAAUCUUUUGAUGUCUGAUACCACCAACUGUAGAUGGUAGGGAUAGUUGGAGGCUGGCCCUUUGAGCAGGCCAUGAUAGCUUACUUGCUGGGCAUUUCAGAUAGCUUAUUGCCUGCCCUUUUGCUGGAAACAGACUGAUUUGAAAAACAAAAUCUAUGAAGACUGCAGCUAAGGAUUUUAUCAGUAGACUUAAGAGCUUUUGUCCUUGUGGAUAUUUUAGUGGAACCACAAUAGUCUUAAUACUGUCAUUUUACACUGACUCAGAGCAGCUGACAUCAUUCCUUGCCAUGAUAUAUAUUUAAGGCAGGCAUUGUAACAGACAUUAAGACAACUUAUCUGUUUCAGCAGGAAGGAUUCAGUUUAUGGACUCUCAGACCGGAUCAUGUUGAACAAGGAGAUUUUGAUAUGUGUCAUGAGAAAACUCAUCCUUUACUUCCCCAGUCAAUUUAAAGGCCAGCUAUCCUGAGCUACUCGAAUGAAUGCGCUGGUUAAACAUUGGGGAUAGUUUAUAUCCUCUCUCUCUAGGCCAGUUGUGAUUACAUGACUCCCCUCUAUAUCUUGUCAAACAAGGCCUAAGUCUGGUUGCUGUAGACUGCUCACUCUCAACAAAUAAAAAUAAAAUCUGGAUGACUAGCCUGCUUGUAUAUACAACUAUUAUUUGUUAAGAAGAAAUUAUCUUCAAUUUUCUACUAUCUUCAAAUUGUCAGCUUUUUUCCUCUCUGAUUUUUCCUGUGCUUUACAGAAAAAGACAUUGAUCUAUACUGCCAAUCCCUCUAAUCCUGCCAACUCAUUCAAAAUGAAUGACUUAAGAUGAAGAUGAUCAUCUGCUCAAGAGUCUAAAAUAUACAUUGUAAAUAAGAAUUGGUGAUUAGAAAAGCAAAAAACCUAAAACUUAAACCUAGGAGUUUGCCUACUAUCUCCAUGUCUCCAUGCUUCAGAUCUCAUCUGAAUCUUUGAACAGCACCAUUCAACCAAUCUGAGGCCUUGGCUUGCUUGUAAGAUGAUUCUCAGAGAUCGGCUGAGUUAAAAAAGAUGACGACUUGAUUACCAAAGAAAGUAGGGCCAACUUUGACAAACCUGGCUCUGCUGACCCUGUCAUUCCCAGAUGUAGCAUAGACUCCUAAACAGAACCUCAAGUCUGAUUGAGGAUAAGGCCUUCUCCUGAGCUGAAAGUUCUUUGGCAGAUGAGCAAGAAACUGAAAGCUGAUGUACCUGACUGGCUCUGUAAGAUCAGAAAACUGUAUCCAGGAUAAGCCCUAUGGAUUAACCCCUGAGUACCCAUGGUAAAAACUAAUUUACAGAGCUUCCUUAUUGAUCUGCCUGUUCUUCCAGAUCAUAAUCUGGCUAUUGGUAUGGCUGGCCUUUCUGAAGCUGCCCUGCUUGUCUAUUUUCGUGACUCAGCUCUUGCCUGCCCUUUUCACAUGUUGCUGCAGUUAGACUCACUGACCUUGAGAAGACUACAGCCAAUUUUAGUGUAUCUUGUGCCCAAUACAACAAGGAUUUUUAAUAGAAACAACCCACACCUCACCUGCUAGGACUCAGUGUUCACAACAGGAAGGACCAUGUUGUAUACUACUUGACCAGCAGCUUUUUUAAAGAUAUUUUUAAGUGCAGAGUUAGCCUCUAUUCCUGUAUGUAUUUGAUCAUUUUCAGCACCUGGAACCUCAUCUAUCAGGUCUGGAAGGAAUACAGCAGAUCGAAAGCUGUGUCCAUUUCUCUUCUUCAGUAGUACAGAAAUGAGUCUGAUUCACCAGUACACACAGAACUGUACCAGUUCAGCCUGGCAAAAGAACAGUUUCCACUGUACUUAAAAUUUACCGCCAACUCAAAUUGCCUCACAGAAUUAUUUGAUGUAGGAGGCUAGUUGUCUUGCUUCACAUCAGCAGGACAGUUGGACUCUCAGACUCAUGACCACUGAGUUUACUUGUAUUGAAACUGUGGUUUCAUCCGAAGUAUGCUAUUGGACUUGAUUAUUAUCUCAUUCAAAUGGAUUACAGACUUACUGAGGACAGGACAAACUUAUCUCUCAUGGUGUUUUUUUAGAAUACUUUUAUAACCAAGGAAGAAACCAUGCCAGCUGUUACCAUUCAACUUCUUAAGCAGAGAUUAAGCUUUUUCAUAUGUGUUCGUAUCCUAGACAUUUUCAUAUCUGUUCUUAUCCUGGACAUCAGUAGUUUUUAAUUGCCCAGCAUCCGUUCCAUCUCAUUGUAACAACUCCCUGAUGUUUCUUAAAACCACCUCUUCCUAUUUUCAGUCUGUGGUUUGGACAGUCUGACCCAACCUUGAGCUUUGUGGGUGGACGUGUAAUUCAGACCUCAUCAAUCAGCAAAUCCAUCUGAACUGUGGAGGAGAAGCUCUCUUUACUGAGGUGCUUUAGCUUUGUAGGAUGAAAACCUCAAACCAACAGGGCCUGCCAUGUAGAGAAUGAAGCCAGUGCAGGGGAAAGUAGAGCCAAAAUAUGGAGAGACUUGAAUCCUGAUGACAACGUUUGUGCCCCUGGAUCCAACCGUGCCUGAAGCUAGUAUAUCCCCUGGACUUUUCAGUUAUGUGAACCAAUAAAUACCCUUUUUUGCUUAAGUUA